CUAACUGGAGGACCGAACCGACUAAUGUUGAAAAAUUAGCGGAUGACCUGUGGCUGGGGGUGAAAGGCCAAUCAAACCGGGAGAUAGCUGGUUCUCCCCGAAAGCUAUUUAGGUAGCGCCUCGUGAACUCAUCUCCGGGGGUAGAGCACUGUUUCGGCUAGGGGGCCAUCCCGGCUUACCAACCCGAUGCAAACUGCGAAUACCGGAGAAUGUUAUCACGGGAGACACACGGCGGGUGCUAACGUCCGUCGUGAAGAGGGAAACAACCCAGACCGCCAGCUAAGGUCCCAAAGUCAUGGUUAAGUGGGAAACGAUGUGGGAAGGCCCAGACAGCCAGGAUGUUGGCUUAGAAGCAGCCAUCAUUUAAAGAAAGCGUAAUAGCUCACUGGUCGAGUCGGCCUGCGCGGAAGAUGUAACGGGGCUAAACCAUGCACCGAAGCUGCGGCAGCGACACUGUGUGUUGUUGGGUAGGGGAGCGUUCUGUAAGCCUGUGAAGGUGGCCUGUGAGGGUUGCUGGAGGUAUCAGAAGUGCGAAUGCUGACAUAAGUAACGAUAAAGCGGGUGAAAAGCCCGCUCGCCGGAAGACCAAGGGUUCCUGUCCAACGUUAAUCGGGGCAGGGUGAGUCGACCCCUAAGGCGAGGCCGAAAGGCGUAGUCGAUGGGAAACGGGUUAAUAUUCCCGUACUUGGUGUUACUGCGAAGGGGGGACGGAGAAGGCUAUGUUGGCCGGGCGACGGUUGUCCCGGUUUAAGCGUGUAGGUGUGUGUUCCAGGUAAAUCCGGUUCACUUUAACACUGAGGCGUGAUGACGAGGCACUACGGUGCUGAAGCAACAAAUGCCCUGCUUCCAGGAAAAGCCUCUAAGCAUCAGGUAACA
rnacentral:rRNA from 1 species